AUUUCGAUUGUGUGUUGAUAGAUCCGUCAUACAGUUAUUCAGUGAGGACAAACAGUUUUAUAUAUUCGAGCUUGGGAAACAUACCUUUGCCACAAAAGCCGCAGUAUUCGCUCUUACGGGAGCCCGUUGUGUGCGUUGCCUCAUGACACUUGAGAUGGCGUUGAUUGAUGAACAGUCUGUCGCAGCCGCUAUGUCGACAUCUCAGCUGCCGCUCGGGCUUGUGCCAAUUCAUGUGGUAAUGCAAACUUUUACGGGUGAAGAAACGCUUCUCGCACAUGCUGCACUCGAAAUCCGUCUCCGAGUGAUAUUUCUCAAUGUGAUGACGUAGAUUAUGACGGUCGCCGUACUUUUUGCCGCACACCUCGCAGCCAUAAUGCUUCACAACAUGGCUGCUCUUCAUGUGCACCGUACGCGAUGCGGCGUCUUGGAAACAUUCCGUGCAUUCCGGACAAUUGUAUGGCUGAUCCGGAUCAUGGGCGCUACUAAUGUGCUCUAAGAGCAAAUGCUGCAGUUCGUAGCUCUCUUCAGCUAAAAUACUUGCCUUCCCAUUUUAAAAUAUUCACGCCUGGCGGAAAAAUAGCCAAAUCGGCACAACUGUCUGAAUCAAAAUAUUCAGAAAGCAGUGAAGUAUAAAACAUCCAGCUGGGUUGCUGGGUCACUGUGCUCCGUUUGGAAAUGCAAAAAGCUAGAUAGAGCUUUUUUGAGCGCCAACAUUCGAAAUGCAUC